rnacentral:rRNA from 1 species
AGCGCAGUAAUGCGUUAAGCUAACCGAUACUAAUUGCCCGUCAGGCUUGAUCCUAUAA